AAGAAAAUAAUCUUAAUUACUAGUUAUAUUUUAAAAAUAGUAUCUACUUAAUUAUUUAACGAGUUAUCAUAACGAUAAUAACAUGAUAAUGUAUACUUCUACGUAUAUUCCUGAACAUAACCAAUGCUAUCAAAAGCUCACGUUAUUUUGCAAAGUUCUUUGUUAUUAAAUAAGAACUCGUAAAUAUUUAACGACACUAUAAAAAUCAAUUGUGGCGCUCUCACACCUCUCGAAUUCGCAAGUUGGAUUAUAUCGUACAUGCUCGUGAAACGUUGGCACGCAUUGCAAGAUUAUUUUAAUCAUGGCGCCACAAUGAGAGCGUCAUUUCACAAGCAUGAUAUUUCUUUUUUUAGUUUGUGUUUUUCUAAUUUAAAAUUUUCUUGAAAAUUUAUAUAAACUUGACGGUUUUCACAUCAUAUAUAAAAAAUAAUAUUAUAAAUUUUUAGUGACAAGUGAUACAAGUAUUGCAAUACGUAUAAAUAUUUUUGAUAGUGGUGCAAAUCAACACAUGUGCUUUGAUUUGAUUGAAUUAACAAAAGAAUCUUAAAUCUGAAUUAAAUCUUUUAUAGACUACAUAUAUACAUAUGAAAAAUUUUAUAAUUUUUCAAAUAUUUUACAUAUAUUCAUAUUUAUUCAUACAAGAAUCAACCUAACCUAAACAAAAAAAAAAAGAAAAAGAAAAGAGAAGCAUUUACUAUCCAAACACAGGAAGAGGCCGAUAAACUGUACCAAGUAUUCAAACAAACCGGAAAGUAAACUAUUUCAUUGUUCUCCGAUCGUUCGAUAUUAAGUAUAAAUCACAAAUGAAAGCUAAAAUCGUACAGCAGCCAUGCGGAAGCUUCUAAUCGUUUGCUGUUCUGUAAUUAUUUGUACAAUUGCACGAUAACACAAUGUAAGGAUAAUGCAUGUCUGUCGUGUUAUCUCAACUUAUGACGUAUUUCUUGGUGCAUAUGUUAAUGUUAAUGAUAGAAUGACCGUGGUUGAUUAGACUGCAAGGCCUUGGUCGCGUUGAUCCCUCUUUCGAUAUAUAAACGUAUCUCACUUACUAGCCCCGUGUCGCCCUCUAUCGUUAUAUUCCUACAUGAAUGAUUAUGAAGCCCAGCAAUACUUUGCUGGAUCAACAUUUCGAUGCUUCCCGUUAAUGUGUGCUUCAUUAUAACGAUCUUUCGCUUCCUGCGACGUAAUAACAUUCAACGACACAGCAUGCGUCUUUAUGAAGUCAUUAAAAUAUAUCACCGAUGGGUAUGCUUCUCUUGAAUGAAUAUACGAGAUUGGGAUUUAAUGGAUACUUUAAUUAGAUUGUGAUUCAGUUACGUUGAAAUAUAAUUGAGAAGAUUGUUCGAACGUCUCAUUGAUAUCGAAGGAAUUUAAUUGAGAUUUUUAUUUAAUACGUAGAUUGAAAUAUAUGGAUUGUUGGAAAAGAAAUUACGUAUGUAAUUAUUGGAAUCAAUGAAGAUGGUGGAAGAAUGAAAACUUUGAAAAGGUAAAUCAAAACUGAACGAGCUAACCUAACCUUUUCUAUAUUCCUCGCUACGUGAAAGUCAUCCACUCACUUUAUACCUCCUCCUUGCAGUUAAAAUAUAAAAGAGGAUAUAAAAGAGUAAGUGGUAAUCAAGAAAGACUCAAAUUCAACUAAGUCCUUAAAACGUAUGAAUUUUCAUCAUAUUUAUUAACGUGCAAUGACCAACUGAUCUAUUGUUGUAAUCUAUCGACUGUAAGAAACGUCCCACUUUUACAUUCAAUUAAUAUGUAAUUAAUAUACAAAUCUUGAGGUCGUAUGUCAACAAACUAGUCAUUCCAUUGGAACGCGUCCAAAUAUAAAUCGAGCAAAGUUUCAAACGAUUAAGCAAGAAUAGUAGCCAUCAUUUCUUCGUUCAUUCCAUUGAAUGAAAUUGUGGGCCCGAUUAAAGGACUUGUCUCGAGGUCCCAGAUUCGAGCAUAACGCGGGCGCGAUCAUGCGUGGGACGGCUGCGCACACUCUUUCUACAUCUGCCCCUGAAUUAUCAGCUACAUUAAACAGAUAGGGCGAUGAAUCGUUGCUGUUGCUGAUAUUUCUGCCCCGCAACAGCAUUGACCUUCUUGAUUUAAUCGCGUGCUUUUUGCCAGACAUGAAGGCGAGGCCGUCAUGCUCUUAAGCUGGAUUUACACGUGCGUUAGUUUAUGUAUUGUGCAAAGCUGAAGAAAAAUUACAUCCGGAAUGGAACGGAGACAAGAAUACUUUGCCCAAUCUGGCUAAUAUGUAUAUUUACUUAGAUGAGUGAAUAUUUCAAAAAGAGAAGGAUUGACUAAUUUGAAUGAAUUGAUUUUUUAAACGGAUUAUUUAAUUAAUUGCUGAAAGAAAUUUAAUAUUUAAACAAUUUUUUAUCUAUUUUUCAAAGAUGCAACGUAAAUAUAACUUGUUUAAUGGACUUUGAUUUAAUAAGAAUAAAAAUAAAACAAAUUUGAUAAAAAUUUCAUAUAUUCGCAAUAUGUAUUUGCAAUAAAAUUGAUUUGUAAUACGAAUUGAUUGCAACAGUAGAUAUACUGUUAUUUAGCUAUAAGAAAUUCAUGAUAUUGCAAAUUUAAAUAUUACAAGAUUGGUCUUAAUAAUUACGAAAAAGUGAAUAAUGUUACAACACAUUGUUCAAGUUUAUAAAUGAAUGAUGACAUUCAGUUUUAUCUUUUCUAACACAAAUUGCUUAUCUAAUCUCAAGUAAACCAUAUGUGUAUGUUCUAUAAACUUUCCGUCAUUUCUAUGUAAAUUUAAUCAGAAUAACAAGGAAAUUUUUUUACAAUAAAGAUAAAAAUGAAUUUAUUCAAAGACUGGAUCAGUUUUAUUUUU